rnacentral:rRNA from 1 species
GGUAACAUCAAAUCGUACCCCAAACCGACACAGGUGGUCAGGUAGAGAAUACCAAGGCGCUUGAGAGAACUCGGGUGAAGGAACUAGGCAAAAUGGUGCCGUAACUUCGGGAGAAGGCACGCUGAUAUGUAGGUGAAGUCCCUCGCGGAUGGAGCUGAAAUCAGUCGAAGAUACCAGCUGGCUGCAACUGUUUAUUAAAAACACAGCACUGUGCAAACACGAAAGUGGACGUAUACGGUGUGACGCCUGCCCGGUGCCGGAAGGUUAAUUGAUGGG